UUAAAAGAUGUACGAUGUAGACCGAUCGGAUCGAGGAAACAAUGCACCUCGGCGUUGUCGUUGUUCUGCUAUUCGCUUCAAUACAAGCAGAGGAGAACAUACAGUUAAUCGGCAUUCGAGUUGGACGGAUAAUCAGGACGUUUGGGAAGAACGACUCGACGCCGAAUUGUUCCCUGAGGCCUACUGUGGUAUGUCCCUAUAAUCCCUUUCGGAGGUUGAUUCAGCUAUACGUAUACGAUGCUGAUGCCAAACGGUGCCGGAAAUGGCGAGCAUGUGUGCACGUUAUAGGCCACGCCUACGCCCUAUGGACGGACUGUAGUCAGGUGCACAAGAAUUGCACCGCAAACGCUCGUGUAUCCACCCCGGCGCCAUCUCAGACAGUUGCCCCCAGUGACACUACUGGAAAGGCAGAGAAGAAAAAGGAAAAGAAGAAAAAGAAGGAGAAGGAAAAGAAGCAGAAGAAAAAGAAGCCGAAACCAUCAACAGGAAAAGAGUGACAGACCGUACGCGGGUCAUAUAAAGGCUCUCAGCAUAAAGGAGACAUGGAACAUUCAAUAAUAAAUACAGGUGGUAUCCGUCA